rnacentral:rRNA from 1 species
GCUUAACACAUGCAAGUCGAGGGGCAUCAGGAAGAAAGCUUGCUUUCUUUGCUGGCGACCGGCGCACGGGUGAGUAACACGUAUCCAACCUGCCCUUUACUCGGGGAUAGCCUUUCGAAAGAAAGAUUAAUACCCGAUAGCAUAAUGAUUCCGCAUGGUUUCAUUAUUAAAGGAUUCCGGUAAAGGAUGGGGAUGCGUUCCAUUAGGUUGUUGGUGAGGUAACGGCCCACCAAGCCUUCGAUGGAUAGGGGUUCUGAGAGGAAGGUCCCCCACAUUGGAACUGAGACACGGUCCAAACUCCUACGGGAGGCAGCAGUGAGGAAUAUUGGUCAAUGGGCGCUAGCCUGAACCAGCCAAGUAGCGUGAAGGAUGGAGGCUCUAUGGGUCGUAAACUUCUUUUAUAUAAGAAUAAAGUGCAGUAUGUAUACUGUUUUGUAUGUAUUAUAUGAAUAAGGAUCGGCUAACUCCGUGCCAGCAGCCGCGGUAAUACGGAGGAUCCGAGCGUUAUCCGGAUUUAUUGGGUUUAAAGGGAGCGUAGGUGGACUGGUAAGUCAGUUGUGAAAGUUUGCGGCUCAACCGUAAAAUUGCAGUUGAUACUGUCAGUCUUGAGUACAGUAGAGGUGGGCGGAAUUCGUGGUGUAGCGGUGAAAUGCUUAGAUAUCACGAAGAACUCCGAUUGCGAAGGCAGCUCACUGGACUGCAACUGACACUGAUGCUCGAAAGUGUGGGUAUCAAACAGGAUUAGAUACCCUGGUAGUCCACACAGUAAACGAUGAAUACUCGCUGUUUGCGAUAUACAGUAAGCGGCCAAGCGAAAGCAUUAAGUAUUCCACCUGGGGAGUACGCCGGCAACGGUGAAACUCAAAGGAAUUGACGGGGGCCCGCACAAGCGGAGGAACAUGUGGUUUAAUUCGAUGAUACGCGAGGAACCUUACCCGGGCUUAAAUUGCAGUGGAAUGAUGUGGAAACAUGUCAGUGAGCAAUCACCGCUGUGAAGGUGCUGCAUGGUUGUCGUCAGCUCGUGCCGUGAGGUGUCGGCUUAAGUGCCAUAACGAGCGCAACCCUUAUCUUUAGUUACUAACAGGUUAUGCUGAGGACUCUAGAGAGACUGCCGUCGUAAGAUGUGAGGAAGGUGGGGAUGACGUCAAAUCAGCACGGCCCUUACGUCCGGGGCUACACACGUGUUACAAUGGGGGGUACAGAAGGCAGCUAGCGGGUGACCGUAUGCUAAUCCCAAAAUCCUCUCUCAGUUCGGAUCGAAGUCUGCAACCCGACUUCGUGAAGCUGGACUCGCUAGUAAUCGCGCAUCAGCCACGGCGCGGUGAAUACGUUCCCGGGCCUUGUACACACCGCCCGUCAAGCCAUGGGAGCCGGGGGUACCUGAAGUACGUAACCGCAAGGAUCGUCCUAGGGUAAAACUGGUGACUGGGGCUAAGU